rnacentral:rRNA from 1 species
AGGGAUCAUUAGUGAAUUUAGAAUAUUUGCUUGCAAAGCUCGACCUCCCAUUUUUACCCCUGUGCACUUGAUGGCAAAAGAAAGGACUAGUAUCGCUUAAUCGCUUCAUUAGAACCCUGCCUUGCGGCUUCCUUUUUAACCAUUAGUUAAAGUAUGUAACGAAAUAUUGAAACAAAAAAAAACUUUCAACAACGGAUCUCUUGGCUCUCGCAUCGAUGAAGAACGCAGCGAAAUGUGAUAAGUAAUGUGAAUUGCAGAAUUCAGUGAAUCAUCGAAUCUUUGAACGCACCUUGCGCUCCCUGGUAUUCCGGGGAGCAUGCCUGUUUGAGUGUCAUGAACUCUUCAACCCAUCAGUUUCUAGUGAACUGUGUGGUGUUUGGAUUUUGAGCGUUGCUAGUCUGACUAGCUCGUUCGUAAUACAUUAGCAUCUCUAAUUCGAAUUCGGAUUGACUCAGUGUAAUAGACUAUUCGCUGAGGACACUUUUAUUAGUGGCCGGACUAGAAACCAGUAGAAGCUCCCAACUAUUGUAGUCAUUUCUAUUUUAGACCUCAGAUCAGGCAGGAUUACCCGCUGAACUUAAGCAUAUCAAUAAGCGGAGGA